GUGUUUACUUUGGCAGCACAUAUACCAAAAUUGGAAUAAUACAGAGAAGAUUAGUUUGGCCCCUGCUCAAGGAUGACACACAAAUUUGUGAAGCAUUCUUUUUUUUU
rnacentral:snRNA from 1 species